rnacentral:sRNA from 1 species
UUACGGGAGUAGAAUGCAAGUGGUUGCC